GGUUCGAUGGUGUAGUUGGUUAUCACGUUCGCCUCACAUCUUGUGCAGUACGCGAAAGGUCGCGAGUUCGAGCCUCGCUUGAAUCA